UCUUAUCACAAACUUACAGCCAUACAACCUGAUCUCAUCAGAUCUAAAGUUAAGUGUAGUCAGAUUUGGUCAAUACUUGGAUGAGUGAUUUCCAAGGUAAAUCAAGAAUGCAUUAGGA
ensembl:rRNA 5S_rRNA 5S ribosomal RNA